AUAUAAGCAGCAGAUGAAAUUAGCAUGAAAUUAAUGAUUCUUGUUGAAUUGGCAGUGAGCGAGGAAACAAAAACACAGUGUGGUUGAUGUUUCCGUCGAUGAGACGGAGCAGCUGCUGCUCGGUUAGUAGCCAGAGCCAGAGCGGGCAAACAUCCUCAGUCACAGCGCCACACAGACACAGUCCGACACCGGCAGGAAAUGAAUCCAGCCGGCCGCGUUAUCUCAGCCAGACAGACACUUUCUCUGCGCUCCCGCCUCUCCAACAGGUACUCGUGAGGAGGGAUGUAGUCCUUCACGAUGUCUAUGGGGUCUGCGAGGGGAACAAGAUUAUAAAGAAUCACACGAAGGCUGAUGCAGACGUGAGCAGCAGGACAGAUGUCACCACGUCCUGCCUGAACACCUGCCUCAAGGGGUAGGCGUUCCAGGACUCCUCCUCCACUCGCAGGGCAGCUUGAGGCAGGAUGGCACAGAACCAGGACGGGAUGUGUUUGCCGAUGUGAUAGACCUUGUGCGUGUACUGACCCGAACCUCCCGGGCCGUCCUCGUAGGGCUUGUUCUCCAGGAUCUCCACGCCGCUGCCCUCGCCACAGCUCUCCUCUCUGCUCUUCUUCUGCAGGAUGGCAGCACAGAGGGAGGUGACACACUGUUUGUUUUACAGGUUUGAUCCCAUAAUGGUGCUUUUAUUUGAGCAUAAUCAUCACUAUGAGCUGCUCCUUUCUUAGUAAUAACACCAGAUACUGUAGAUACUGAUGGACAUCACUUUAUUGUUCACUUCUCAUAAUUUCCCUUUUAAAUCCUCUUAAACUGAAUAUUUGAGCAGCAUGUUACAUCAGAGUGUUUCUGCUUUAAUGUACAACAUCAUACAGACAUUAAAAAUUAAAUUUGAUCAUAAUAUAAACAACCUCUGUAGAUUUUCAGCUGAUUUCUGUCUUUACGCACGACUGAUAAUGUUUUCAAAUCAACUCAAUCUUUAAAUUUCAUCACGUGUGACCUGAUAAACAGUCUGUUGCUGUGUUUUCUUUCAUCCUCCUUGUUAAUUAGACUUAUUACUCUUUUCUCUGACACAUACAAAAGUU